AUGGAUGCUCAGAGAGCUCUGCUGGACGAACUUAUGGGCUCAGCUCGUAAUUUGACGGAGGAGGAGAGAAGGGGGUACAAGGAAAUUACUUGGGAUGAUAAGGAGGUUUGUGGAGCCUAUAUGGUUCGAUUUUGUCCCCACGAUCUCUUCGUUAACACUCGAAGCGAUCUAGGACCUUGCCCUAAACUACAUGACCCAAAGUUGAAAGAAAGUUUUGAAGAGUCCCCGCGGCAUGAUGCUUAUGUGCCCAAGUUUGAAGCUGAACUUGCUCACUUUUGUGAGAAGUUGGUGAUGGAUUUAGAUAGAAGAGUAAAGCGUGGGCGAGAACGCCUUGCUCAGGAGGUGGAACCUGCACCAGCACCUCCACUGUCAGCUGAAAAGUCCGAACAGCUCUCUGUUCUGGAGGAAAAGAUAAAGAACUUACUGGAACAAGCAGAGGCUCUAGGUGAAGCUGGAAAGGUGGAUGAAGCUGAAGCACUGAUGAGAAAGGUGGAUAUGCUCAAUUCUGAGAAGACAGCAUUGGCUCAGCCCCAGAAUGAUAAAGUGUUGAUGCUGGCACAGGAGAAAAAAAUGGCACUUUGUGAGAUCUGUGGUUCAUUUCUAGUGGCCAAUGAUGCUGUAGAGAGAACUCAGUCGCAUGUUACGGGGAAGCAGCAUAUUGGUUAUGGCAUGGUUCGUGAUUUUAUCGCUGAGUUCAAGGAAUCCAAGGAGAAGGCAAGGGAAGAAGAAAGGUUAGCGAGGGAGAAAGAGGCAGAAGAACGGAGGAAACAGAGGGAGAAGGAAGAGGAGAAUAGAAGGAGAAGUAAUUCAAGUGAUAGGGACAGGUACCGUGAUAGAGAUCGUGACAGGGAGCGGGACAGAUAUCGAGAACGAGACUUGGAUCGUGAAAGGUCGAGGGAGUGGAAUGGCAGAAGUAGUAGGGAUGGAGGGAGAGGGGUGGACAGGAGGUCCAGGAAUGGAAGAGAUGGAGGCAGGGAUAGGUACCAUGAUCGAAGCAGGUCACGUUCCCCUGUUAGGCACAGUCACAGGAGGUGACCUAGAAGUCCCGUUCGCCCGUAUUAAUGAAUUGUGUAGGGUGAUGUCUGAGCUUUGAAAUUUAAUGAGGUAGUUUCCAUAUCUCUAAGGUUUUUAUAAACACGUGCAUUUGGAGUCUUACUUGAAUUUUCAUCAUGGGUGAAGCUUUUUCCUAUCUCACAGCUUUUGUUGAGACUACCAUCUCCCAUUCAUCAGUAUUAUUAGCGGAGAAAAUGGUUGAGACAUCAGGCCCGAAAAUGUGUGCAUGAUUGACACCGCAGUUGGCGACAUGAUGGUUUUUUAAUCACUUUUGAGGUAACACGUUUAUCGUCUAUUUACCAGCACCAACCCAUACAAUAUUUCCUUCUUUCCAUAGGCACACUUUUCCCUUUCUUUUCAGUCCUCAUGCAUCUGGUUUUCAGUUUUAACCGCUCUGUUUCUAGUGCUGCUUGUUUAACUGGGAUGGGGAUCCGAAGAAACCAAUCGUGAAAUGCGCGGAUUGUGUGCUACAUUUUCAUUCUUCUUGAGGUAUUUAGGUCACUCUCCAUGCAUUCUAGAAAUAGUUGGUCUGGCAUCACCCUUUAAUGAUUUUUCAAAUGGCUCAUUUGUCUGCCCUCUCCUCUCCUCUCCUCUUCAUUCCCCCUUUAGCUUAUCGAACUUUAAUGGUUAGAUCGGUGCAAGCAUUCCUUUCGGUGAGAGAAUAAUGACAGACCAGUCAUAGAAGUGAAGUUAAUCUGUAAAGAUUACAUUAUCAUGUGAAUAGGUAGAUUUGGAGUUCAAAUUUCUGUCUUGAUCACAAUUCGGUCCCUGAGAAGCCGUGUAUUGUUUCAACGGGGCACGGGCAUCUGCUUCACCACACUGGGUUGCUGUAUAAGAUUUGCCGUUAUCGGUGAACGGAGGUAACUGCCAAAUCAUAUUCUGCAGAUUAGUGCAUUUCUUUUAAAGUUUUGCAGGAAGAGAACCAUGAUGAUUAGGUUGGGUCGAAUAUCUGUCAUGGCUUAGCAAUGGUUUGUGGAGGCGUCCCUAUUUUUGCUGCUGAACUAGUUGCUUUAAAUCGAGUUACCAAAUGGAACCGAAAUGAUUGAUUUAUGAGUCGUAAUUGAAUAUGUUUUGUAUCACUUUUGACACACUAUUCUUCACUGUUGAAUUUA